UCGCCGCCGACGACGUCGCGAGAAGUCCACUGAACCUUAUCAUUUAGAGGAAGGAGAAGUCGUAACAAGGUUUCCGUAGGUGAACCUGCGGAAGGAUCAUUGUCGAUGCCUGCAAAGCAGAACGACCCGCGAACCGUUUCUCAAUACUCGGGAUGCCGGAGGGCGUCGAGCUCCCCGGUAUCUCGACGCUCCGGACGCCGGCGGUGCGAGCCACCCCCGGCGGAGGGAGCAUCAAACACAACCCCGGCGUGCAAAGCGCCAAGGUACUCAAACGAUAGGACRAGCACCCGUCGCCCUGGACUCCAGUGCGCGAUGGGGUGUCUGUUCUGUAGCAUAAGUAAGUCUAACGACUNNNAUUGCAGAAUCCCGUGAACCAUCGAGUCUUUGAACGCAAGUUGCGCCCGAAGCCUUGGCUGAGGGCACGCCUGCCUGGGUGUCACACGUCGCUCUGCCUCCAAAACCUUCCCCCCGCUAACACCGUGGYGAUGGUUCGGAUGCGGAAGAUGGCCUCCCGUGACCACGAGCCACGGAUGGCCCAAGUUCUUGCUGGGGAAGCGAAGCGCCACGGCUUUCGGUGGUCGGUAUAGCCCCCCCGGGGCAAUGAAGCCCGUGGUAGCCGCGACGGUCCCCGGCGUACGACCCUGAUCACAAACCAAYGCGACCUCAGGUCAGGCGGGGCUACCCGCUGAGUUUAAGCAUAUCAAUAAGCGGAGG
rnacentral:rRNA from 1 species